GUUGCUGGGUGAGGGGGGCUCUGGGUAGGGGCAGGUAGGUAGUUACCUGAGUUGCUGGGUGAGGGGGGCUCUGGGUAGGGGCAGGUAGGUAGUUACCUGAGUUGCUGGGUGAGGGGGGCUCUGGGUAGGGGCAGGUAGGUAGUUACCUGAGUUGCUGGGUGAGGGGGGCUCUGGGUAGGGGCAGGUAGGUAGUUACCUGAGUUGCUGGGUGAGGGGGGCUCUGG